rnacentral:snoRNA from 1 species
AUGCGCACAUUUGAGNCCAUCCCAGAACGAGUGUCUCGGGUGGUCAAGCUCGUGCGCUACAUCGUGUGGAGCCUAGUUAUCAUCCGGCUCUGUCCCCGUGGCGAGACGGACGAUUUGUGGUUCCUACAGCUUU